rnacentral:misc_RNA from 1 species
GUGCAUAUGCCUUUCCCGGUAACCUACAUGCAUAUAUCAUAUAUCAUAUAUCAUAUAUAUAAUUAACACCACACUCAUAUUAUAUGUGUCCAUCAAAUUUUUCAAGUGCUAUAUUUUAUAUGCAACAAGCGUAUUUUUCACUUGAUGCACGUUAACACUACUGCCACUAAUAAUAAAUAAAUACCAUCGAUAAAAUAUUGCAUUAAUUAGUCAAUUCUCUAUCCAAAUCACUACUAUACCCUUGAUUAAAUUAAUUAAUCUAUCAAUUAGUUUGACAAUUAGAUACAUAUCUAUGGACAAAUACAACAUUCCGUGCAUGAAUAUUGAUAAUAAAUAACACCAAUCCCAUUGCUGAGCGUCAGAUUGGUUCUAUUCAUACCCCAGAUCCCUAGAUUAGAUAUACAAAUAUUGUUUGAUACUGGAAUAGUCAUAGCACUGCUAAGCACUAAACAGCCCUACAUGGGCAGAAAUCAUCAAUUGUUAGUGCAAUUAGUAAGAGAUUGGAGAAAACGAGGCAAAAGUGUAUGGAAUGAAAUCAUGGGGAAGAAAUACUCAAGAAAGUUUUCGAUAAUUGCCAUAGCACUAUCUGCUUUAUAGCUCUCCAAUGAACUUCGAAAGGCAAUGGUUGAGUUUGUCUCUUUUUCCCAACAAGAAACAUCCCUGGCAGGAAGAAGAAAAGAGAAAAGCUACAGAGACUACAAUUGAUAGUUUAUUUAGCCAUCUCGAGAUAGUGGUUUUCGUUGUCCAACAACUACUCUAAGCAAAGUGGACUUCGG